rnacentral:lncRNA from 1 species
AUAUUCAUUAAUGGAGAGACUGCCCUGCGUAAAAUUAGUCAACUCAUGUUCCAAUAGAAAUCGUCGAGCCAUGUUGUCCUGUUUGUAAACAUUACUAAGGUAAACCCACAUGAACAUUAACAUAAAGUUUUGAAAACCUAAAAAUAUUCAUUAAUGGAGAGACUGCCCUGCGUAAAAUUAGUCAACUCAUGUUCCAAUAGAAAUCGUCGAUCCAUGUCGUCCUGUUUGUAAACAUUACUAAGGUAAACCCACAUAUCAACAGCAGUUUUUUAAGGCAUCCGAUUGGGAACAAGGUGAAACUUAACUGAACUAGGGUCCAGGUCAUAAUCCAAGCAUGACAAAGCCUCUACAUUUGUAGGAGAGAGAUCACUUCCAUCAAUAUGACCUCAUAACUCUUUUUCUUUGACAAAUAAUUGAAAUUGGAAUUCCCAAGCAUAGUAAUUUUUGCAAUUAAAAUGAAUAUGAAAUGAGUCUUAACUUAUCUAACGACAUGAUGGAAUAAAAUACUCAACUAAAAAAUUGAUUGCAAUAACCACUACAAAUUAACUGUUAUAAAAGGAACCCAGACCAAAAACCACUAAAUUGGCACCUGAAAGAAAAUCCAAACCAUACAGAGAGAGCCGAACGAAAAGGCAAAGAAGCUAAACUCUUAGAGAAACGCUAGAAAUCUACCAAAAACCCAAGAAACUCUUACUUAGCAUGCCAAACUACCGACCAGAGGCUAACGAUAUACACCUAGAUGACCAAGGGAAAAUGCAACCAGAAACCUCAAGAGAAAUAACCAAACAGUUCCACCGGAACC